rnacentral:rRNA from 1 species
UGAGGAAUAUUGGUCAAUGGGCGAGAGCCUGAACCAGCCAAGUAGCGUGCAGGAUGACGGCCCUAUGGGUUGUAAACUGCUUUUAUAUGGGAAUAAAGUGAGGGACGUGUCCCUUAUUGCAUGUACCAUACGAAUAAGGACCGGCUAAUUCCGUGCCAGCAGCCGCGGUAAUACGGAAGGUCCAGGCGUUAUCCGGAUUUAUUGGGUUUAAAGGGAGCGUAGGCUGUUUGUUAAGCGUGUUGUGAAAUGUAAGAGCUCAACUUUUAGAUUGCAGCGCGAACUGGCAGACUUGAGUGCGCACAACGUAGGCGGAAUUCAUGGUGUAGCGGUGAAAUGCUUAGAUAUCAUAACGAACUCCGAUUGCGAAGGCAGCUUACGGGAGCGCAACUGACGCUAAAGCUCGAAGGUGCGGGUAUCGAACAGG